AGUCACUGACAUUAGAUACCCGCGUAGUCCAGGGUGUAAACGCUGCAGACUUGGUGUUGGAGGCCCUUUGGGGGCAUUCAGUGCCGGAGAGAAGUUGUUAAGUCUGCUACUUGGGGAGUACGUCCGCAAGGAUGAAACUUAAAGGAAUUGGCGGGGGAGCGCCGCAGCGGGAGGAGCGUGCGGUUUAAUUGGAUUCAACACCGUAAAACUCACCAGGGAAGACUGUUACAUGAAAGCCGAGAUGAAGACUCUGCUAGAUUUUCAG
rnacentral:rRNA from 1 species